CUAUGAGACCCAAAAAAAAAAAAAAAAUCUCUUUAAAAAUUAACUUUUGCACUCCAUCUCUGAACCAUGUGCUCUGGUGUACAAUCCUAUCACUGGACUUCUUUAAAAUUGCUGAAUAGUAUACUCAUCUUUAGCCUCCUUACCACCCUAGAUAUGACAAACAUCCUUCACAUUAACUUUCUGGAGAUGUUUUCAGUUUUCACAGGACUCGGUGAGAUAGACAAAAUGAAAAUUCUAAGUGGUCAGUGAAAGAGGAGGCCUCAUCAGUUUAUGAAAUAUAACAGUAGAUGGUCUAAUUUCAGUUUUCUUCACCUUUCU
rnacentral:lncRNA from 1 species